rnacentral:rRNA from 1 species
AAUGGAGGCAACUCUGAUCCAGCCAUGCCGCGUGCAGGAGGACUGCCUAUGGGUUGUAAACUGCUUUUAUAUAGGAAGAACCUUGGUACGUGUACCAAGCUGACGGUACUAUAAGAAUAAGGAUCGGCUAACUCCGUGCCAGCAGCCGCGGUAAUACGGAGGAUCCAAGCGUUAUCCGGAAUCAUUGGGUUUAAAGGGUCCGUAGGUGGAUAAUUAAGUCAGAGGUGAAAUCUUGCAGCUCAACUGUAAAAUUGCCUUUGAUACUGGUUAUCUUGAGUUAUUAUGAAGUAGUUAGAAUAUGUAGUGUAGCGGUGAAAUGCAUAGAUAUUACAUAGAAUACCAAUUGCGAAGGCAGAUUACUAAUAAUCAACUGACACUGAUGGACGAAAGCGUGGGUAGCGAACAGGAUU